UACGUAGGUGGCAAGCGUUGUCCGGAAUUAUUGGGCGUAAAGCGCGCGCAGGCGGUCCCUUAAGUCUGAUGUGAAAGCCCCGGGCUCAACCUGGGAAUGGCAUUGGAAACUGGCGGACUAGAGUGUGGCAGAGGGGGGUGGAAUUCCGCGUGUAGCAGUGAAAUGCGUAGAGAUGCGGAGGAACACCGAUGGCGAAGGCAGCCCCCUGGGCUAACACUGACGCUCAGGCACGAAAGCGUGGGGAGCAAACAGG
rnacentral:rRNA from 1 species